rnacentral:rRNA from 1 species
GACGAACGCUGGCGGCGUGCUUAACACAUGCAAGUCGAACGAAGUGGCGAACGGGUGAGUAACGCGUAAUCAACCUGCCCUUCAGUGGGGGACAACAGUUGGAAACGACCGCUAAUACCGCAUUCUGAAGGUGGGGUCUGUGGUUGAUUAGCUAGUUGGUGGGGUAACGGCCCACCAAGGCGAUGAUCAGUAGCCGGUCGGAGAGGGGGAACGGCCACAUUGGGACUGAGACACGGCCCAGACUCCUACGGGAGGCAGCAGUAGGGAAUCUUCCGCAAUGGACGAAAGUCUGACGGAGCAACGCCGCGUGAGUGAUGACGGCCUUCGGGUUGUAAAACUCUGUUAAUCGGGACGCGGUACCGGAAUAGAAAGCCACGGCUAACUACGUGCCAGCAGCCGCGGUAAUAC